AGAAUUCCUUUGAAUCCGAAAAGUGUGCUGUUUAAUGGCAAAAUUACUCGAGGAGAGAAGUUACUUUCUAGAUUGAAUCAUGAAAAUAUUAUAAGGUUCAUAAAACCAUCUUUUAUUGCUACAAACACUUUAUCUGACAUCAUUGAGAAAUGGCAAACUUGUGAUUCAAAUAUGGACAACUUGUGUAAAGCUUAAGGUACCAAACACUUGUCUUUCAUAUCUGUGCAUGCAAAGCAAAAAAAAGACUUUCUUUGGUGAACUUAUUUGAAUUGCACUUUGUUUAAAUACU